AUGUAUGUCAUGUAUUCUGGCCUAAAGGCACUAGAUCCCAUCAGAUCCUAGAAGUUAAGCAGGUCAAUUCUGAUCAGCACUUUGAUGGAAGACCACCAAAGAAAAUAAAGUGCUGUAAGUU
rnacentral:rRNA from 11 species